CAGUAAACCACAAAAAUUUGUGCAGUGUCUAAAUUAGCAUUUACAAAGGUGCUAGCUAACUUGAAUUAACUGGCAACUAAUUAAGUUGAGUUCCAAUGGGGCCACAAACACUUAGGGGGGAGCAGAGGGGCAAGUAUCCUGCGUGCUCAGUCAGGGCUACUCCUGAGUGCAAAUAUGGCCUAUAUUAAACUGACAAGAGCCAUGUUUACAUCAAGAGAUGGGAAGAGCAGUGGGAACAUUCAGU